GUCCCGGGAGCCCGGCCUCGUGCGCCGCGCUUUGAGGUGAGCCUCUCUGAGAAAUUUGUGAGGAGGGUCCAGCCGCGGGUCGGAAGGAAGGACGUGGGGAGCGAGGCUCGAGCGAGCGACAGCGAGUGCGAAGCAGACUGCUCGACAAACACUGCGCCAAGAGCUCCUCAGCAGAAGCUCCUCGCAUCAGAUCCUCUGUGCUGGGAAUCCUCCCCUCUUGAGCACACUCUGUGCUCCUCUUCCAGUUACGGUGCAUGUGAAGCAAUGGUAUGGGAAAAUUGUUUGCAGAAGGAUGAAAAGGCUUUAUUGCCAAACUGUAAGUACAUGAUUUGAAAUGUUUAUGGUCAAGAGAAAAUAUUUCUACAGCAUCAUGUAAAGCAUGUAGAUACAUUUGCACAUGUGCAUUAACAUGUAAGAACAUGUGCCUCAGACACAUGUGCCCUCCUGGAACAGCUCAUGCUGGCCCCAUGCCUGCUUCCAAGCUUCCAUCAAGUCAGGGAGUGGAGCAAAGAGGGAAGGCAGCCCCUGCACUGUAGGGACCCUUAUGCACAGAGGCAUUGAGACUGCCUGUUCCUCUUGGAAGCUUCUGCUCUCAAGAGGCAGCUAGGUUUUUGGAGCUUCUCUGCUUCAUGUCUUGCUUCCCACCCUAGGGUUCCAGAUUCUGUUCUUCCCUAGUAUUGGCAAGGUUUUUUAUAGAUAGCUCUUGGAUACAUUUGGAAGUAAUGUUUACAAAUGGUGAGAGAGAAGGCAUCUGACAUUUUUUUCUAAACACAUGCCAAUGUUUGUCUUUUCCCCACUAAUUUCAAUAAUUUGGCCUAACACUUUUGUCACAUAUUCUGACUCUUUAUUCUGAUCCAUUUAUCUACUCUGGCAUCCCCACAUGGUUUUAAGUACUGGAGCUUUACUGUAUGUCUUGGUAUCAGGCCAAGCAAACCAUGUUAGUCUUAUUUAAAACUUUCUCAGCAAUUGAUGCAUAUUUGUUUAUCCUGAUGAAUUUUAGAACUUACCAGUACUGACAUCUUCACAGCAUUGUAUCCUGUCAACAACCUAGUCUGAACCUCAAUGGUUCAGGUUUCCUUUGCACAUACAGGCCCUGAGAACUCAUAUGUUAAUGAGAAAGACAUUCCGGGAAACCAGGAGGUGAGGAGACCAAGGAUUAGGCUCCACUCCUAUUAUGAAGAUGAACAGUUUUUAGAGUAUCAUGGAGUUGGAGAAGGUACUUCAAGGAUCUCUAUGGGGAACAAGAAGGAACAGCAAAGUUCCACCAUCCUGUGCCCUUUCUGUUCAGGUUUAUUGUUGUGAAUGAGAAUUUUUUUUUUUUUAACAUGUUGUGGAUCUAUCUAUCUGAUCACCUUAUUGAACUGAGAAUGGUUCUAUGGACUUGACUUUUCUUGGACUGACAACUGUACUGUCUGGAAAUGACAGUUUCUCCUUCCUUUCAGUAUUUGUGCCUGUCUAUCCCACAUCCCUGUACUGGUCAGGAUUUCCAGGACAAUAGUGAAUAAUAGUCGGGACAACAGGCUGGUUCUGAUUCCACUGUUCCUAACAUUCUACCAAGAAGCAUGUUUUUUUUCUAUUUUGGUAGUUUUAUGUUAGGUAGCCUUAUCAAGUUAGGACUUUUUUUUUUUUUAACCCAAGCUAAAGAAAGUACCCAAAAUAAAGAAAUUUUAUCAGGAACAGGUAUAAAUUUUAAGAAACGUAUUUCAACGCCUGCUAAAAUUACCACUUAUUUUUCUAUUAUGGCAACAAAUUACAUUAAUAGAUUUUCACUGUUAUUGUUUAUCCUGGGAGAAAGCAUACUUGUGAACUUUUUUAGGUACUGUGCUUUGGAACCAAAUUUGGAAGUGAGAUGAAAUGUCAGCUGUACUCUCCUGGUUAGGUAUGAUUUCAGGGUCAGGUAUGCCUGAUAAAUGAAGUGAGAUGCUUUAACUUUGUUCUAGAAUAGUUUCUACUGCAUGGGAAUGAUCUGUUCCUUGAGGAUUUGUCACAGUCUGCCCACAGUGGACUGGAUUUGGCAUGUAGGAUGUUAAUUUCUAUUUACUUUGCAAGAAAAAUACAGUUUAGCAAGCAACAGAAACAUACUGAACAUGAACCUCACCGUCCCUCUCUCAGCUGUAGCUCCUUCUGCGUCUGCAACCUGGCUUGUUCCCACGACAAAGGAACAUCAUAUUUUUUCAAAUCGUUUUUAAAAAAAUACACACAUAUCUGACCAUCUUCACUCAGCGCCUCUGAGAAAACAAUACAAAAACAGAUAAAGAGGCCAGCCUGGCCAACCCUGUCUCAAAAAAAAAAAAAA
rnacentral:lncRNA from 10 species